UGGGGAAUUUUGGACAAUGGGCGAAAGCCUGAUCCAGCAAUGCCGCGUGUGUGAAGAAGGCCUUCGGGUUGUAAAGCACUUUUGUCCGGAAAGAAAUCCUUGGGCUCUAAUACAGUCGGGGAUGACGGUACCGGAAGAAUAAGCACCGGCUAACUACGUGCCAGCAGCCGCGGUAAUACGUAGGGUGCAAGCGUUAAUCGGAAUUACUGGGCGUAAAGCGUGCGCAGGCGGUUUGCUAAGACCGAUGUGAAAUCCCGGGCUCAACCUGGGAACUGCAUUGGUGACUGGCAGGCUAGAGUAUGGCAGAGGGGGGUAGGAAUUCCACGUGUAGCAGUGAAAUGCGUAGAGAUGUGGAGGAAUACCGAUGGCGAGGGCAGCCCCCUGGGCCAAUACUGACGCUCAUGCACGAAAGCGUGGGGAGCAAACAGGAUUAGAUACCCUGGUAGUCCACGCCCUAAACGAUGUCAACU
rnacentral:rRNA from 1 species